rnacentral:rRNA from 1 species
CCUACGGGUGGCAGCAGUGAGGAAUAUUGGUCAAUGGGCGAGAGCCUGAACCAGCCAAGUCGCGUGAGGGAGUACUGCCCUAUGGGUUGUAAACCUCUUUUGUCGGGGAGCAAAAGCCGGACGUGUCCGGCUGUGAGAGUACCCGAAGAAAAAGCAUCGGCUAACUCCGUGCCAGCAGCCGCGGUAAUACGGAGGAUGCGAGUGUUAUCCGGAUUUAUUGGGUUUAAAGGGUGCGCAGGCGGAUUUUUAAGUCAGCGGUAAAAUCGUGGGGCUCAACCCCAUCCAGCCGUUGAAACUGGGGAUCUAGAGUGUGCGAGAGGUAUGCGGAAUGCGUGGUGUAGCGGUGAAAUGCAUAGAUAUCACGCAGAACCCCGAUUGCGAAGGCAGCAUACCGGUGCACAACUGACGCUCAGGCACGAAAGCGUGGGUAUCGAACAGGAUUAGAUACCCCAGUAGUC